AUCUAAAUAGUUUAUUUAAAAUAUUGAUUUGUGGUGUCAAUGAUAUGAACUCGUUCAUUUUAGAUC
rnacentral:tRNA from 1 species